GGACCAAGGAGUCUAGCAUGUGCGCGAGUCAUUGGGACAUUUCUAAACCUAAAGGCGCAAUGAAAGUGAAGGUCCGCCUAGCGCGGACCGAGGGAGGAUGGGCGGACGUUUCGGCUGCCGUCCCGCACUCCCGGGGCGUCUCAUUCUCAUUGCGAGAAGAGGCGCACCAUGAGCGUACACGCUGGGACCCGAAAGAUGGUGAACUAUGCCUGGUCAGGACGAAGUCAGGGGAAACCCUGAUGGAGGUCCGUAGCGAUUCUGACGUGCAAAUCGAUCGUCGGAACUGGGUAUAGGGGCGAAAGACUAAUCGAACCAUCUAGUAGCUGGUUCCCUCCGAAGUUUCCCUCAGGAUAGCUGGCGCUCGUUGCGUACGAGUUUCAUCCGGUAAAGCGAAUGAUUAGAGGCAUUGGGGUCGAAACGGCCUCAACCUAUUCUCAAACUUUAAAUGGGUGAGAUCUCCGGCUUGCUCGAACAUACAAACUUGAAGCCGCGAGACUCGAAUCAGAGUGCCAAGUGGGCCAUUUUUGGUAAGCAGAACUGGCGCUGUGGGAUGAACCAAACGCCGAGUUAAAGCGCCUAAAUCGACGCUUAUGGGAUACCAUGAAAGGCGUUGGUAACUUAAGACAUCAGGACGGUGGCCAUGGAAGUCGGAAU
rnacentral:rRNA from 4 species